rnacentral:rRNA from 1 species
CCUACGGGAGGCAGCAGUGGGGAAUAUUGCACAAUGGGGGAAACCCUGAUGCAGCGACGCCGCGUGAGUGAAGAAGUAAUUCGUUAUGUAAAGCUCUGUUGUAAGAGAAAAACGGGUAUCAUAGGGAAUGAUGAUAUCGUGAUGGUAUCUUACCAGAAAGCCACGGCUAACUACGUGCCAGCAGCCGCGGUAAUACGUAGGUGGCAAGCGUUAUCCGGAAUGAUUGGGCGUAAAGGGUGCGUAGGCGGCAAAAUAAGUCUGAAGUAAAAGGCGUUGGCUCAACCAACGUAAGCUUUGGAAACUGUUAAGCUAGCGUGCAGGAGAGGUUAGUGGAAUUCCAUGUGUAGCGGUAAAAUGCGUAGAUAUAUGGAGGAACACCAGUGGCGAAGGCGGCUAACUGGCCUGUAACGGACGCUGAGGCACGAAAGCGUGGGGAGCAAAUAGGAUUAGAUACCCCUGUAGUC